UUUUUAACGGGAAAACCCUUCCCUGGGCUUACCCUCCAGGGAAAUUUCGGAGAGAUGGGGGCUCCUUAGGGGCCGUGCACAGGGGGUGCCUGGGUGUUGUCAGCUCGUGUUUUGAGAUGUUGGGGUAAAUUCCCCAACGAGCGCAACCCCCGUUCUUUGUUUCCAGCGCGUUAAGGUGGGGACUUUUAGGAGACUGCCGGGGUCAAAUCGGAGGAAGGUGGGGAUGACGUCAAGUCAUCAUGGCCCUUAUGUCCAGGGCUUCACACAUGCUACAAUGGCCGGUACAAAGGGGUGCCAAACCGCGAGGGGGAGCGAAUCCCAAAAAACCGGUCUCAGUUCGGAUUGGCGUUUGCAACUUGGCUCCAUGAAGUCGGAAUCGCUAGUAAUCGCAGAUGCAGCGGA
rnacentral:rRNA from 1 species